rnacentral:rRNA from 1 species
AUUGAACGCUGGCGGCAGGCCUAACACAUGCAAGUCGAACGAGUGGCGGACGGGUGAGUAAUGUCUAGGAAUCUGCCUGGUGGUGGGGGAUAACUUCUGGAAACGGUAGCUAAUACCGCAUACUAUCAGAUGAGCCCAGGUGGGAUUAGCUAGUUGGUGGGGUAAAGGCUCACCAAGGCGACGAUCCCUAACUGGUCUGAGAGGAUGAUCAGCCACACUGGAACUGAGACACGGUCCAGACUCCUACGGGAGGCAGCAGUGGGGAAUAUUGGACAAUGGGCGCAAGCCUGAUCCAGCCAUGCCGCGUGUAUGAAGAAGGCCUUCGGGUUGUAAAGUACUUUAAGUGGGGAGGCGUUACCAGCAGAAUAAGCACCGGCUAACUCCGUGCCAGCAGCCGCGGUAAUAC